CGGCCGUUGUUGUUUUAAAUUUCGUGUGCUCUCACAACGUGCUUUUGUCUGAUCCGAUAUUCUUGUACGAUACUCGAUCCGUUGAUCUACGCCGUCUGAUUGAAUGAUCUGACAAGCAUUUAYGUGMUCGACGCAUUGCUAUUCGAUGCGGCUGAACGAGGACCUAUAGAUCGGUCCAACGCUAGUUUCAAGACAACCUGUAGCUGUAUAAUAUAGUGGUGUUCCUAUAGUGAAGUUUACUGACUGCGUGUCUGUACAAGAGUUGCAUCCGUCGUGUAACCUAACCUUACUGCUUCUGCUCGUCAGAAGAUAAGAAUAUUUACAACUGGUUAGUUGUCUCUCCAUCAUGGCCUUUUGAUGCAUCAAUAAACUAGAAGUACCUAAUUAAAAUAUCUCAAUCAUUGGAUAAGUAAUCUCAGUGUUUAACAACAAAAUUAAUCGAAAUUCAAAUGCAAGAUAGUUGUUGAAGAAAGAAUCUGUUCAUUAAAAAAAUAAACAAUACUGUUUAUAAUUAGCAGAAUGAGGUUCUUGAUAUCUAUACAUUUGUUGAUUCAUAUGUCGGUAUUCUUACAAUCAUAUUGUAGAGGAUUGAAACAGCAUUGUAAUGCUUCAG